CGGGGUGUAGCGUAGUUUGGUAAACGCGCCUGGUUUGGGGCCAGGAAAUCGUAGGUUCAAAUCCUGCCACCCCGACAA
rnacentral:tRNA from 1 species